GAUGAACGCUGGCGGCGUGCCUAAUACAUGCAAGUCGAGCGAACGGACGAGAAGCUUGCUUCUCUGAUGUUAGCGGCGGACGGGUGAGUAACACGUGGAGAACCUACCUAUAAGACUGGGAUAACUUCGGGAAACCGGAGCUAAUACCGGAUAAUAUUUUGAACCGCAUGGUUCAAAAGUGAAAGACGGUCUUGCUGUCACUUAUAGAUGGAUCCGCGCUGCAUUAGCUAGUUGGUAAGGUAACGGCUUACCAAGGCAACGAUGCAUAGCCGACCUGAGAGGGUGAUCGGCCACCCUGGAACUGAGACACGGUCCAGACUCCUACGGGAGGCAGCAGUAGGGAAUCUUCCGCAAUGGGCGAAAGCCUGACGGAGCAACGCCGCGUGAGUGAUGAAGGUCUUCGGAUCGUAAAACUCUGUUAUUAGGGAAGAACAUAUGUGUAAGUAACUGUGCACAUCUUGACGGUACCUAAUCAGAAAGCCACGGCUAACUACGUG
rnacentral:rRNA from 1 species